UGGGAGCUUGCUCCCUGAUGUUAGCGGCGGACGGGUGAGUAACACGUGGGUAACCUGCCUGUAAGACUGGGAUAACUCCGGGAAACCGGGGCUAAUACCGGAUGGUUGUUUGAACCGCAUGGUUCAAACAUAAAAGGUGGCUUCGGCUACCACUUACAGAUGGACCCGCGGCGCAUUAGCUAGUUGGUGAGGUAACGGCUCACCAAGGCAACGAUGCGUAGCCGACCUGAGAGGGUGAUCGGCCACACUGGGACUGAGACACGGCCCAGACUCCUACGGGAGGCAGCAGUAGGGAAUCUUCCGCAAUGGACGAAAGUCUGACGGAGCAACGCCGCGUGAGUGAUGAAGGUUUUCGGAUCGUAAAGCUCUGUUGUUAGGGAAGAACAAGUACCGUUCGAAUAGGGCGGUACCUUGACGGUACCUAACCAGAAAGCCACGGCUAACUACGUGCCAGCAGCCGCGGUAAUACGUAGGUGGCAAGCGUUGUCCGGAAUUAUUGGGCGUAAAGGGCUCGCAGGCGGUUUCUUAAGUCUGAUGUGAAAGCCCCCGGCUCAACCGGGGAGGGUCAUUGGAAACUGGGGAACUUGAGUGCAGAAGAGGAGAGUGGAAAUUCCACGUGUAGCGGUGAAAUGCGUAGAGAUGUGGAGGAACACCAGUGGCG
rnacentral:rRNA from 1 species